rnacentral:rRNA from 1 species
GCAUAUCAAUAAGCGGAGGAAAAGAAACCAACAGGGAUUGCCUCAGUAACGGCGAGUGAAGCGGCAAAAGCUCAAAUUUGAAAUCCUUCGGGAGUUGUAAUUUGUAGGUUGGGAGACCCCGCGGCUAGUGGCACCAAGUCCCUUGGAACAGGGCGCCUUAGAGGGUGAGAGCCCCGUAGGUACCACAACACCGUCUUGUGUCUCCUCUCCAAAGAGUCGAGUUGUUUGGGAAUGCAGCUCAAAGUGGGUGGUAAAUUCCAUCUAAAGCUAAAUACCGGCGAGAGACCGAUAGCGAACAAGUACAGUGAUGGAAAGAUGAAAAGCACUUUGAAAAGAGAGUGAAACAGUACGUGAAAUUGUUGAAAGGGAAGGGCUUGCAAGCAGACACGGCCUCGUGCCGGGCCAGCAUCGGUUGCUAGGGGUGGAUAAGGAGCAAGGAAUGUAGCUCCUCGGAGUAUUAUAGCCUUGCGCGAUACACCCACUGGCGACCGAGGCCUGCGGUAUUCUUUACCUAGGAUGCUGGCGUAAUGGUUGCAAGCCGCCCGUCUUGAAACACGGACC